GAGUUUGAUCUUGGCUCAGGACGAACGCUGGCGGCGUGCUUAACACAUGCAAGUGGUGCGACGAACCAGGGCUUGCCCUGGGGCAAAGCCGCGAACGGGUGAGUAACACGUGGGUAACCUGCCCCGAUGACCGGGACAACCCGAGGAAACUCGGGCUAAUACCGGAUGUGGUGCAUUGGCAUCAGCCUUUGUACUAAAGGAAGCUUCGGCCUCCGCAUUGGGAGGGGCCCGCGGCCCAUUAGCUUGUUGGUGGGGUAACGGCCUACCAAGGCAACGAUGGGUAGCUGGUCUGAGAGGACGAUCAGCCACACUGGGACUGAGACACGGCCCAGACUCCUACGGGAGGCAGCAGUGGGGAAUCUUGCGCAAUGCGCGAAAGCGUGACGCAGCAACGCCGCGUGGGGGAAGACGGCC
rnacentral:rRNA from 1 species